AACCUUGUAUUUUAUUAAAAAAUAUUCGUUUGCAAAACGUAAGAAGAGAAGUACUCCAAGGUUU
rnacentral:tRNA from 1 species